GCGCUCGCUUUGGCAGCACAUACGCUAAAAUUGGAACGAUACGGAGAAGAUUAGCAUGGCCCCUGGCAAGGAUGACACACAAAUUUGUGAGGCGUUCCAUAUUUUU
ensembl:snRNA U6 U6 spliceosomal RNA